CCUACGGGAGGCAGCAGUGGGGAAUAUUGCACAAUGGGGGAAACCCUGAUGCAGCGACGCCGCGUGAGUGAAGAAGUAUUUCGGUAUGUAAAGCUCUUUUAGCAGGGAAGAAAAUAACGGUACGUGACUAAGAAGCGCCGGCUAACUACGUGCCAGCAGCCGCGGUAAUACGUAGGGGGCAAGCGUUAUCCGGAUUUACUGGGUGUAAAGGGAGCGUAGACGGCCAGACAAGUCAGAAGGGAAAGACCAGGGCUCAACCCUGGGACUGCUUUUGAAACUGCCGGGCUGGAGUGCAGGAGAGGUAAGCGGAAUGCCUGGUGUAGCGGUGAAAUGCGUAGAUAUUAGGAAGAACACCGGUGGCGAAGGCAGCUUACUGGACUGUAACUGACGUUGAGGCUCGAAAGCGUGGGGAUCGAACAGGAUUAGAUACCCCGGUAGUC
rnacentral:rRNA from 1 species